AGUGAACGCUGGCGGUAGGCCUAACACAUGCCAGUCGAACGGCAGCACAGUAAGAGCUUGCUCUUACGGGUGGCGAGUGGCGGACGGGUGAGGAAUACAUCGGAAUCUACUUUUUCGUGGGGGAUAACGUAGGGAAACUUACGCUAAUACCGCAUACGACCUACGGGUGAAAGCAGGGGAUCUUCUGACCUUGCGCGAUUGAAUGCGCCGAUGUCGGAUUAGCUAGUUGGCGGGGUAAAGGCCCACCAAGGCGACGAUCCGUAGCUGGUCUGAGAGGAUGGUAGGCCGCCAUGGAACGUGAACAACGACCCGGGGCCUAAGGGAGGGACCAGUGGGGAAAAGUAGGCAAAGGGGGGAAGCCUGGUCCAGCCAUACCGCGUGGGUGAAGAAGGCCUUCGGGUUGUAAAGCCCUUUUGUUGGGAAAGAAAAGCAGCAGGUUAAUACCCCGCUGUUCUGACGGUACCCAAAGAAUAAGCACCGGCUAACUUCGUG
rnacentral:rRNA from 1 species